rnacentral:tRNA from 7 species
GGCGGUGUAGCUCAGUUGGUUAGAGCAACGGAAUCAUAAUCCGUGUGUCCGGGGUUCGAAUCCCUGCACCGCUACCA